CCCGCUGAAAUGUCUCGCCUUCUAUACUAAUCAUUGAUAUUAUGUUGAUAGUUCUUAGUAUAAAGCUAAGCUUUAUUACAACUGUCACAUAAACUUAACAUUAACCAAGAUAACUAAACAAAGACCAAUGAACCUUGAAAAAGAGGUCCAGGUCAGAUGAACCAUGCCAGGCAGACAGGUACAGCUAACAAUGCUUCUAUACAACAUAUAUAGUUGACACAUUACUUAUAGUUUAAGAAAAAU
rnacentral:lncRNA from 1 species